GAUGAACGCUGGCGGCGUGCCUAAUACAUGCAAGUCGAGCGAACAGACGAGGAGCUUGCUCCUCUGACGUUAGCGGCGGACGGGUGAGUAACACGUGGAUAACCUACCUAUAAGACUGGGAUAACUUCGGGAAACCGGAGCUAAUACCGGAUAAUAUAUUGAACCGCAGGGUUCAUUAGUGAAAGACGGUUUUGCUGUCACUAAUAGAUGGAUCCGCGCCGCAUUAGCUAGUUGGUAAGGUAACGGCUUACCAAGGCAACGAUGCGUAGCCGACCUGAGAGGGUGAUCGGCCACACUGGAACUGAGACACGGUCCAGACUCCUACGGGAGGCAGCAGUAGGGAAUCUUCCGCAAAGGGCGAAAGCUUGACGGAGCAACGCCGCGUGAGUGAUGAAGGUCUUCGGAUCGUAAAACUCUGUUAUUAGGGAAGAACAAAUGUGUAAGUAACUAUGCACGUCUUGACGGUACCUAAUCAGAAAGCCACGGCUAACUACGUG
rnacentral:rRNA from 1 species